rnacentral:misc_RNA from 1 species
GCCGUUUGCAGUAUAGGCGCGUCUACGUUGCGCGGCAUACAGCUACUAGAUCACUUGCGCGCGCGUUCGUCAUGUCGCGACUGGAGCCCGUGAACGUGAAGCAAAGUGGAUCUCCUCGUGCCGACAGCGAAUGGGGUAUGUGAGGUUGUGCAAGUCGAAGUUUUAUAACGAUACCGUGCCGCACUGCCACGUGAAUUUUUUGCUCGCCCUUAGAGCUUGUUUUUUUCGAGGGGCUGAAGAAACAUUUGAAAUUACCUGCACUGAGAAAUAACUUCAAAUGUGAGGUUAAAAAUUCUAUAAUUAUUUGUGCCAUGUGUGUGAAAAUUGAUUAAAUUUAAUUGCACUUGAAGAUAUUUCUUAUAAAAAGUUAGAACAUGCGCAAUUCUUUUCACAUCGUUUGCCAUACCUGUAGGCUAAGUUUGUCGGCUCUUUACAAAAACUGAUAUGGGCGUCCGGCGCAAAAGGAAGGCCUCUGUAUCGGCACAUUUUCACACUGUGCAAGCUCAGGCUAACUUCACAUGUUGUGGCAGCCAUUAAAACAGCCAGUGUUGGAGGUGACUGAAAUUUUCAUGCAUAAAAUGAAUGUACCCGUGGGAUAUGUUUCUUGGAGUGUGCAACCUCAUCCAAAGCUCCGUGUGCAGAGUGCUGCUUUGUGAGUCGGAGAUUGUCACGAAUUAACGUGGUUGUGACGUCAUGUCGGGUCGUCAGAACAAUCCCCACGAUCAACAUUUUCAUCAUCGGUGGGGCUCUCAGAACAAAUUAUAUGCAUAAUGGUCAAUGCCACCAUCACCAUCAGUUUCGUCACAUUUUGUAGACUGUGCUAUCUCCAGGAUGGGCCCUGGAUAGAGGCUAGAAGCAGAGGUUAGAAAGACCUACCCGAUAGGGAAAAGAGGCGUCAACUCGCCAAGGAACGGUUUCUUCUAAAUAUCAGUCCACUUUAGCGUGUCAUCCAGCUUUGAACUCAUUGACUGCCGACCGCAGCAGGUUGUGAAGCAGGCAGCACUAUCAUUUCGUGAACUACUUCUUUGCGAUGCACACAGGAUCGUCCUCAUUCGCUACACUAUUGCCUGUUGCGCACAUGGCAUACAAAAUAUGCGCAUAGACUCCACCGCCUUGAGAGCAGAUGUAGGACGGAAGGUUAAUAAAAAUUACAAUCAGUUAGUCUAAUGCGCCACGACUGCUAUGAACUUGAUGUCGAGUAUGGCACAAAGUAUUGCAACCAUUCUUCAUCUGUUCCAGAUUUCACUGUGGGUCAUGGCUGACUUGAGUUCCCGCUCGACGACACCGGAUCCAGUCCAUCGCAAGGUUGGUCUCCCUCCCAAGUACAAAACAAACAGGUGGAUGAACCUGUUCAAUCCCUGGUGCCGUCAAUAAGCGUAUACAAUGAGAACGUCCACUACCAUAUCUUCACAAACUGUACCAUAGAAGAGCGUCGCAGUCGGUCUCCCUACCGCGCUGCACGUGAUCGCAGCCCCAUCAACGAGCGUCGAGCAGGAAAUUCCAGGCGUCGGACUGAGUUUCAGAUUAUAGAAGAUUCAAGACGCUCGACAACCAGACGAGGAAAUAUGGAACAGCGCACGAGCAAACGUGAACACAUUGCUCGUCGCUGGGAGCAUGAUCGCUAUGACCCCGGUUAUGGACACGGUAGUCACCGGGGCACCCCCCGUCAUCGCCAGGAAGUGUUUCGCGAACGAAUUACUGGCUCAUGGAAUUCUCCUAGAAGGCAGUAUUAAACCGCCUACGGUGAUAUGCUGUUUAGAAUCGAGCAACGCGUUAGGUGGUGGUGGUGAGAAAGAAGACUUAUUCAGGAAAAUACAAGAGUUGACACCCGAAAGGGGGUGGGUACACCUAGGCGUGCUUCCUAGUUAUAAGUCUUCGUCCUAAUGACACGUUGCCUCUGCUACUGAAGCGAUCAGUUUAGACAGUGACGAAUUGAGUGAUGUUGCAGAUGUCAUAGUUUAAGCGAUGUUACGGCUCUCGAAGCCAGAUAAUUCUUUCGAUCUGCGUUGUGUCUUAGUGGAAUUGCUCCUCCACAAGGCGCCAAUGGUAAUACGAAUCGCUGCCUGGUGCACAGCUUUGCUUUCUUCGUUCGGAAGAUCUUUGCUGUCGCUACUAUAGGGAUUACUGAUAAAGAAAUGCUUAAGACACAAUUGGGAAAACAUCACUGCUCUACGUCAACAGCAGGUGCUAAUGCAAUAAUCUAGUAAUGAGGUUCAAUGUUCGAAUGCAACAUACGGUGCAUGAUAGACACCGUAGCGCUUGAGUGGACAGCUCUGGAUUAUUUCGACCUCCUGGGAUUCUUUAACGAGCAUGUAAAGCCGAGUACACUAGGCUUGAGCGUCUGGCCACAGUCAGAAUGAGACCACGGUGGCCGUGAAUUAUACCUGAAAUUUUGUGCUCAGCAUCUCAAUGUCGUCACUGCUGAACGAGCUCGGUGGAUUGGGUAAUAUGAGGUUGGAAUGAAUCGUUGUGUAGGAACGAUGCAGAACACGCGAAAAUCAUUCACCAGGCCCGGUGAAUGAGUUUCUUAUUGUGAUACGGCUCGCCAGUUUUGGUUUUGUGUAUAUUGGUAUUCGCAAUUCACAGUGAAUUGUCAUUGGUGCUUCGAGAAUGUGGUUCAGAUGUGACUAGUUUCAAUAAAUGUUUUUUUUCCUCAUCAAA